rnacentral:rRNA from 1 species
GACGAACGCUGGCGGCGUGCUUAACACAUGCAAGUCGAACGGUGAAGCGCUUGCCUUUUUGGUGGGUGUGGAUGAGUGGCGAACGGGUGAGUAACACGUGAGUAACCUGCCCUCUUCUUCUGGAUAACCUCAUGAAAGUGGGGCUAAUACGGGGUAUUCCGGGUCUGUAGCAUGGCGGGUUUGGGAAAGAUUGCGCCUUUGGGUGUUUUCGGUGGGGGAUGGGCUCGCGGCCUAUCAGCUUGUUGGUGGGGUGAUGGCCUACCAAGGCGGUGACGGGUAGCCGGCCUGAGAGGGUGGACGGCCGAACUGGGACUGGGACACGGCCCAGACUCCUGCGGGAGGCAGCAGUGGGGAAUAUUGCACAAUGGGCGCAAGCCUGAUGCAGCGACGCCGCGUGAGGGAUGGAGGCCUUCGGGUUGUGAACCUCUUUCGCCAGUGAAGCAGGCCUGCUCCUGUGUGGGUGGGUUGACGGUAGCUGGACAAGAAGCGCCGGCUAACUACGUG